rnacentral:lncRNA from 1 species
UUUUUUUAUUAUGAGUACAUGUAUGAAUAGAAUAAUUAGGUUGCAUUAGUAAUAAUUAUAAUCGUUUAAUAUCUAUUUAAUCGGAUAUGAAUAUAAGUCAAUGAUUGUUUAUGUUUAUUUUAUUUAUUUUUUGUUUGUUUGUUUUUUGUACUUUUUGUUUUGUUUUUUUGUUUUUUUGUUUUUUGUUUUUUGUUUUUAUUUUUGUAUGGGGAGGGGGAUGUUCAUAUAAGCACUGACACUGACAGGUCAAAAUGAAUAAACAUGUUUUGUAUUUUUCUUUGAUAAAAUGCAUAUAAAUAUUGUAUGAGGUGAAGAAAUACAAAAUAAAGAAUUAUAAAAAAAUAAAA